rnacentral:snoRNA from 1 species
AAAAAAGCUGAUGAAACUAUAUUUCGUUUAUCAAAGCCUUUCGGGUCUGAAGAUAAGAAAAUGAUGAAGAAAAAAUCUGAUUUU